rnacentral:tRNA from 1 species
AGUGAUUUAGUUAAUUAAUAACAUUAAUAUGUCAUAUUAAAAUAAUUGAGAAUCAAUAAACACUA